AACGAACGCUGGCGGCAGGCCUAACACAUGCAAGUCGAACGAGAUCUUCGGGUCUAGUGGCGCACGGGUGCGUAACGCGUGGGAAUCUGCCCUUUGGUUCGGAAUAACAGUUGGAAACGACUGCUAAUACCGGAUGAUGACGAAAGUCCAAGGAUUUAUCGCCAGAGGAUGAGCCCGCGUAGGAUUAGCUAGUUGGUGUGGUAAAGGCGCACCAAGGCGACGAUCCUUAGCUGGUCUGAGAGGAUGAUCAGCCACACUGGGACUGAGACACGGCCCAGACUCCUACGGGAGGCAGCAGUGGGGAAUAUUGGACAAUGGGCGAAAGCCUGAUCCAGCAAUGCCGCGUGAGUGAUGAAGGCCUUAGGGUUGUAAAGCUCUUUUACCCGGGAUGGUAAUGACAGUACCGGGAGAAUAAGCUCCGGCUAACUCCGUGCCAGCCGCCGCAGUAAUAC
rnacentral:rRNA from 1 species